rnacentral:rRNA from 1 species
AAGCACUGGAAUGUCAGGUGUACCGGAAGGUGCAUGGAUGAAUAGAUACGUUCGGGAUGGAGAAACGCUGAAAGCAUCUAAGCGGGAAGCCGGCUUCGAGAUGAGUUCUCCUUGAGGUUCCCAGUAGAUGACUGGGUUGAUAGGCCGGAUGUGGAAGCACAGACUAACGAUGUGUGGAGCUGACCGGUACUAAUACACCGAUGACUUAUCCUACA